rnacentral:rRNA from 1 species
UGGGGAAUAUUGGGCAAUGGGCGAAAGCCUGACCCAGCAACGCCGCGUGAGUGAAGAAGGCCUUCGGGUCGUAAAACUCUGUCCUUAGGGAAGAAUAAUGACGGUACCUGAGGAGGAAGCCCCGGCUAACUACGUGCCAGCAGCCGCGGUAAUACGUAGGGGGCAAGCGUUGUCCGGAAUUACUGGGCGUAAAGGGUGCGUAGGCGGUUAUGUAAGUCAGAUGUGAAAUACCCGGGCUCAACCUGGGGGGUGCAUUUGAAACUGCAUGACUUGAGUGCAGGAGAGGAAAGCGGAAUUCCUGGUGUAGCGGUGGAAUGCGUAGAUAUCAGGAGGAACACCGGUGGCGAAGGCGGCUUUCUGGACUGUAACUGACGCUGAGGCACGAAAGCGUGGGGAGCGAACA